rnacentral:RNase_P_RNA from 1 species
AAAGGCGAUCGUGCAGUUGCGUGUAUGAAAGUAAUUUAAUAUUUAAUUUAUUUUCAAAUACGAGGAAAGUCCGGACUCCAUAUAGACACGAUGCUGGGUAACGCCCAGCGGGAAUAGGUAUUAAGCUUAUUUUUAGGGAAAGUGCAACAGAAAUUAUACCGCCUUUUUUAUUUAAAGGUAAGGGUGAAAUGGUGUGGUAAGAGCGCACCGGAAUUCUUGGUGACAAGAUUCGCAAAUGAAAACCCCAUCGGGAGCAAGACCAAAUAGGCGUAAUUGAACAUAUGUUCCUGAUUUGUCUAUAAUCAGAGAUUAUGCGGGUAGGUCGCUUGAGGUAAAUGGUAACAUUUAUCCUAGAUAAAUAACUGCAGAUAGCAUUUUUGUUAUACAGAAUCCGGCUUAUAGAUCGCCUUUAUUA